AGAGCGGCGGACGGGUGAGUAACGCGUAGGCAACCUGCCCUUUGCAGAGGGAUAGCCACUGGAAACGGUGAUUAAAACCUCNUAAAGCGGGAGAUUCACAUGGAUUUUCCGUCAAAGAUUUAUCGGCAAAGGAUGGGCCUGCGUCUGAUUAGCUGGUUGGUGGGGUAACGGCCUACCAAGGCAACGAUCAGUAGCCGACCUGAGAGGGUAAUCGGCCACAUUGGAACUGAGACACGGUCCAAACUCCUACGGGAGGCAGCAG
rnacentral:rRNA from 1 species